rnacentral:rRNA from 1 species
GACAGAGGGUGCAAACGUUGUUCGGAAUUACUGGGCGUAAGCGUGUGUAGGCGGCCAUAUAAGUCGGAUGUGAAAGCCCUGGGCUCAACCCAGGAAGUGCACUCGAUACUGUAUGGCUUGAGUACUGGAGAGGUUGGUGGAAUUCUCGGUGUAGAGGUGAAAUUCGUAGAUAUCGAGAGGAACACCGGUGGCGAAGGCGGCCAACUGGACAGAUACUGACGUGAGACACGAAAAGCGUGGGGGAGCAAACAGG